GAGAUAAUAGUAAUAAUGGAAAAAUACAUUUUGCUAAAAUGAGUUGCAGGUUCGAUUCCUGCUUAUCUCCCA
rnacentral:tRNA from 1 species